UUUGAUGGCGACCGGCGCACGGGUGAGUAACACGUAUCCAACCUGCCGAUGACUCGGGGAUAGCCUUCCGAAAGAAAGAUUAAUACCCGAUGGCAUAGUUCUUCCGCAUGGUAGAACUAUUAAAGAAUUUCGGUCAUCGAUGGGGAUGCGUUCCAUUAGGUUGUUGGCGGGGUAACGGCCCACCAAGCCUUCGAUGGAUAGGGGUUCUGAGAGGAAGGUCCCCCACAUUGGAACUGAGACACGGUCCAAACUCCUACGGGAGGCAGCAUG
rnacentral:rRNA from 1 species